UACGGAGGAUGCAAGCGUUAUCCGGAAUCAUUGGGCGUAAAGCGUCCGCAGGUGGUGAUGCAAGUCUAUUGUCAAAGAGCGAGGCUCAACCUCGUCAAGGCGGUGGAAACUGCAAACACUAGAGUGCGGUAGGGGUAGAGGGAAUUCCCAGUGUAGCGGUGAAAUGCGUAGAGAUUGGGAAGAACACCGGUGGCGAAAGCGCUCUACUGGGCCUGCGACUGACAGCUACAUGGAGCGAAAGACUAGGGGAGCGAAAGGGC
rnacentral:rRNA from 1 species